rnacentral:rRNA from 1 species
CCUACGGGAGGCUGCAGUGGGGAAUAUUGCGCAAUGGGCGAAAGCCUGACGCAGCGACGCCGCGUGAGGGAUGAAGGUCUUCGGAUCGUAAACCUCUGUCAGCAGGGAAGAACGGUCACUGUGCUAAUCAGCAGUGAAUUGACGGUACCUGCAAAGGAAGCACCGGCUAACUCCGUGCCAGCAGCCGCGGUAAUACGGAGGGUGCGAGCGUUAAUCGGAAUUACUGGGCGUAAAGCGCUCGUAGGCGGUAUGUCAAGUCAAGGGUGAAAUCCCCGGGCUCAACGUGGGAACUGCCUUUGAAACUGGCAAACUGGAGUGUGUGAGAGGAUAGUGGAAUUCCAGGUGUAGGAGUGAAAUGCGUAGAUAUCUGGAGGAACAUCAGUGGCGAAGGCGACUAUCUGGCACAUAACUGACGCUGAGGAGCGAAAGCGUGGGUAGCAAACAGGAUUAGAUACCCGGGUAGUC